rnacentral:rRNA from 1 species
UUCCGGUUGAUCCUGCCGGAGGUCACUGCUAUUGGGGUUCGGCUAAGCCAUGCGAGCGGAGGGCGCGGUCGCAAGAUCGUGGCCCCGCACACGGCUCAGUAACACGUAGUUAACCUACCCUUGGGACGGGGACAACGCCGGGAAACUGGCGAUAAUCCCCGAUAGGUGAGGGACGCUGGGAUGCCUCCUCGCUCAAAGCUCCGGCGCCCGAGGAUGGGACUGCGGCCUAUCAGGCUGUUGGUGGUGUGACGGACCACCAAACCUACGACGGGUACGGGCGAUGGGAGUCGGAGCCCGGAGAUGGGGACUGAGACAAGGCCCCAGGUCCUACGGGGCGCAGCAGGCGCGAAAACUCCGCAAUGCGCGCAAGCGUGACGGGGGAACCCCAAGUGCCGUUGGUCUUUUGAUCGACGGCUUUUCGGAAGUCUAAGAAGCUUCCGGAAUAAGGGCUGGGUAAGGCUGGUGCCAGCCGCCGCGGUAACACCAGCAGCCCAAGUGGUGGCCGCGAUUAUUGGGCCUAAAGCGCUCGUAGCCGGAUCAGCAAGUCCUUUGUGAAAUCGGGCCGCCCAACGGUUCGGCGUGCAAAGGAUACUGUUGGUCUUGAGACCGGGAGAGGUCGGAGGUACUCUUGGGGUAGCGGUGAAAUGCUGUAAUCCUAGGGGGACCACCAGUGGCGAAGGCGUCCGGCCAGAACGGAUCUGACGGUGAGGGGCGAAGGCUAGGGGAGCGAACGGGAUUAGAUACCCCGGUAGUCCUAGCUGUAAAGCAUGCGGGCCAGGUGUCUAGUGCUCCUCGAGGGCGCUAGGUGCCGGAGGGAAGCCGUUAAGCCCGCCGCCUGGGAAGUACGGCCGCAAGGCUGAAA